rnacentral:rRNA from 1 species
GACGAACGCUGGCGGCGUGCCUAAUACAUGCAAGUCGAACGCACUCUCGUUUAGAUUGAAGGAGCUUGCUCCUGAUUGAUAAACAUUUGAGUGAGUGGCGGACGGGUGAGUAACACGUGGGUAACCUGCCCUAAAGUGGGGGAUAACAUUUGGAAACAGAUGCUAAUACCGCAUAAAACCUAACACCGCAUGGUGUAGGGUUGAAAGAUGGUUUCGGCUAUCACUUUAGGAUGGACCCGCGGUGCAUUAGUUAGUUGGUGAGGUAAAGGCUCACCAAGACCGUGAUGCAUAGCCGACCUGAGAGGGUAAUCGGCCACACUGGGACUGAGACACGGCCCAGACUCCUACGGGAGGCAGCAGUAGGGAAUCUUCCACAAUGGACGAAAGUCUGAUGGAGCAACGCCGCGUGAGUGAAGAAGGUUUCGGAUCGUAAAACUCUAGUUGUUGGAGAAGAAUGUAUCUGAUAGUAACUGAUCAGGUAGUGACGGUAUCCAACCAGAAAG